rnacentral:lncRNA from 1 species
CCCCAAGAUACAAUCUUCGCUUCCUCAAUCGUGAAACGAUGACUCAUCUGUUUAGCACAGCUGCCUCACCACUCUCCCCUUCCCACAGUCCAAAGUGCCUUCCAGAGAGAGCACACCAAGUUAUUUGGCAACUUCCAAAGACAGGCUUUCUUUCAGGGGUCAGAGCCCAAGGGGUUUUCCUGAGGAAAGACCGGAGCAGGAAGCCGGCAACACUGGAAAGCGUCCUGAACACCUGGUCAGGAGCCAGCCUGCAGGAGGAACCGACCGAGUCACCUGGCUUGGGACCUUGGGAAAGUCCAUCAGCUGGUCUGCCCCUCUGUUGCCACAUCUAUAAAAUUACGAGGUGGUUGGGGCCAGUUCAAGCCUGGGAAUUUGGUUGUGCGCCAGUCCCUCCCUCCUUCCUCAGCUCGCUCAGACGCAAGGACCCCUGAACUGCAAGAGGAAGACCCAGUUUUGGCCGUAUCAUAAACCAGCACCCCAGCAGACUGCUGAUGUACUUAAACCGGACACAAAUGACUGAGGAAUGGGGCGCUGUGGAGGCGCAGGGUUGGUGGGUCUGCGAGUGCAGAAGUUUGAAAAGACAAAACGGGAAAUGCAAGCUGACGACGCUUACAGGAGCCCAAGGUGAGAGCAGAAACCGGUUUCAAGAUUUAGUCCAAAGGUCCCCUCCUCUCUAAGGAACUUCCGGAUUCCUCACCAGCCUGGAGGAGAACUGACCACUCCCUGCU